GUUUCCGUAGGUGAACCUGCGGAGGGAUCAUUACUGAGUGAGGGCCUUCGGGCUCGACCUCCAACCCUUUGUGAACACAACUUGUUGCUUCGGGGGCGACCCUGCCGUUUCGACGGCGAGCGCCCCGGAGGCCUUUAAACCCUGAUCUUUGCGUCGGAGUUUAAGUAAAUAAACAAAACUUUCAACAACGGAUCUCUUGGUUCUGGCAUCGAUGAAGAACGCAGCGAAAUGCGAUAAGUAAUGUGAAUUGCAGAAUUCAGUGAAUCAUCGAAUCUUUGAACGCACAUUGCGCCCUUUGGUAUUCCGAAGGGCAUGCCUGUUCGAGCGUCAUUUCACCACUCAAGCCUCGCUUGGUAUUGGGCGCCGCGGUGUUUCCGCGCGCCUCAAAGUCUUCCGGCUGAGCUGUCCGUCUCUAAGCGUUGUGAUUUCAUUAAUCGCUUCGGAGUCGCGGGCGGCCGCGGCCGUUAAAUCUUUCACAAGGUUGACCUCGGAUCAGGUAGGGAUACCCGCUGAACUUAAGCAUAU
rnacentral:rRNA from 1 species